GUUGCGAACGGGUGAGUAACGCGUAGGUAACCUGCCUGGUAGCGGGGGAUAACUAUUGGAAACGAUAGCUAAUGCCGCAUAAGAACAUUUACUGCAUGGUAGAUGUUUAAAAGGUGCAAAUGCAUCACUACCAGAUGGACCUGCGUUGUAUUAGCUAGUAGGUGAGGUAACGGCUCACCUAGGCGACGAUACAUAGCCGACCUGAGAGGGUGAUCGGCCACACUGGGACUGAGACACGGCCCAGACUCCUACGGGAGGCAGCAGUAGGGAAUCUUCGGCAAUGGGGGGAACCCUGACCGAGCAACGCCGCGUGAGUGAAGAAGGUUUUCGGAUCGUAAAGCUCUGUUGUUAAGGAAGAACGAGUGUGAGAAUGGAAAGUUCAUACUGUGACGGUACUUAACCAGAAAGGACGGCUAA
rnacentral:rRNA from 1 species